rnacentral:rRNA from 1 species
UUAAGUGACUAAGCGUACAUGGUGGAUGCCUUGGCAGUCAGAGGCGAUGAAGGACGUACUAACCUGCGAUAAGCUGUGAGAAGUCGGUAAGAGACGCUAUUACUCACAGAUUUCCGAAUGGGGAAACCCACCCGAGAUAACUCGGGUAUCUGUUACUGAAUACAUAGGUAACAGAGGCGAACCGGGAGAACUGAAACAUCUAAGUACCCCGAGGAAAAGAAAUCAACCGAGAUUCCCUCAGUAGCGGCGAGCGAACGGGGAUUAGCCCUUAAGCAUCUUGGAAGUUAGUGGAACGGUCCUGGAAAGGCCGGCGAUACAGGGUGAUAGCCCCGUACACGAAAACGACCUUGAUGUGAAAUCGAGUAGGGCGGGACACGUGACAUCCUGUCUGAAUAUGGGGGGACCAUCCUCCAAGGCUAAAUACUCCUGACUGACCGAUAGUGAACCAGUACCGUGAGGGAAAGGCGAAAAGAACCCCUGUGAGGGGAGUGAAAUAGAACCUGAAACCGUGUACGUACAAGCAGUGGGAGCCCUUCGGGGUGACUGCGUACCUUUUGUAUAAUGGGUCAGCGACUUACAUUUUGUAGCGAGGUUAACCGUAUAGGGGAGCCGUAGGGAAACCGAGUCUUAACUGGGCGUCUAGUUGCAAGGUGUAGACCCGAAACCGGGUGAUCUAGCCAUGGGCAGGUUGAAGGUUGAGUAACAUCAACUGGAGGACCGAACCCACUAACGUUGCAAAGUUAGGGGAUGACCUGUGGCUGGGGGUGAAAGGCCAAUCAAACUCGGAGAUAGCUGGUUCUCCCCGAAAGCUAUUUAGGUAGCGCCUCGGACGAAUACUACUGGGGGUAGAGCACUGUUUGGGCUAGGGGGUCAUCCCGACUUACCAACCCCAUGCAAACUCCGAAUACCAGUAAGUAAUAUCCGGGAGACACACGGCGGGUGCUAACGUCCGUCGUGAAGAGGGAAACAACCCAGACCGCCGGCUAAGGUCCCAAAGUUCUGGUUAAGUGGGAAACGAUGUGGGAAGGCUCAGACAGCUAGGAUGUUGGCUUAGAAGCAGCCAUCAUUUAAAGAAAGCGUAAUAGCUCACUAGUCGAGUCGGCCUGCGCGGAAGAUGUAACGGGGCUCAAAUAUAGCACCGAAGCUGCGGCAUCAGUAGCAAUACUGUUGGGUAGGGGAGCGUUCUGUAAGCGGAUGAAGGUGGCUCGAGAGGGCUGCUGGACGUAUCAGAAGUGCGAAUGCUGACAUAAGUAACGAUAAAACGGGUGAAAAACCCGUUCGCCGGAAGACCAAGGGUUCCUGUCCAACGUUAAUCGGGGCAGGGUGAGUCGGCCCCUAAGGCGAGGCUGAAAAGCGUAGUCGAUGGGAAACGGGUUAAUAUUCCCGUACUUGGAUAAACUGCGAUGUGGGGACGGAGCAGGUUAGGUUAUCGCACUGUUGGAUAUGUGCGUUUAAGUUGGUAGGUGUGAAGUUUAGGCAAAUCCGGACUUCUAUAACACUGAGAGAUGAUGACGAGGCUCUACGGAGCUGAAGUAACCGAUACCACACUUCCAGGAAAAGCCACUAAGCUUCAGGUUUAUCUAAACCGUACUGAAAACCGACACAGGUGGUCAGGUAGAGAAUACUCAGGCGCUUGAGAGAACUCGGGUGAAGGAACUAGGCAAAAUAGCACCGUAACUUCGGGAGAAGGUGCGCCGGCGUAGAUUGUAGUCCCUUGCGGGCGAAGGUUGAACCGGUCGAAGAUACCAGCUGGCUGCAACUGUUUAUUAAAAACACAGCACUCUGCAAACACGAAAGUGGACGUAUAGGGUGUGAUGCCUGCCCGGUGCUGGAAGGUUAAUUGAUGGUGUAAUCGAAAGAGAAGCUCCUGAUCGAAGCCCCAGUAAACGGCGGCCGUAACUAUAACGGUCCUAAGGUAGCGAAAUUCCUUGUCGGGUAAGUUCCGAC